rnacentral:rRNA from 1 species
AUUGAACGCUGGCGGCAUGCUUUACACAUGCAAGUCGAACGGUAACAGGCCUUCGGGUGCUGACGAGUGGCGAACGGGUGAGUAAUGCAUCGGAACGUACCCAGAGGUGGGGGAUAACGCAGCGAAAGCUGUGCUAAUACCGCAUGUGAUCUGAGGAUGAAAGCGGGGGACCGAGCAGCAAUGUUUGGCCUCGCGCCUUUGGAGCGGCCGAUGUCGGAUUAGCUAGUUGGUGGGGUAAAGGCCUACCAAGGCGACGAUCCGUAGCUGGUCUGAGAGGACGACCGGCCACACUGGAACUGAGACACGGCCCAGACUCCUACGGGAGGCAGCAGUGGGGAAUUUUGGACAAUGGGCGCAAGCCUGAUCCAGCAAUGCCGCGUGCGGGAAGAAGGCCUUCGGGUUGUAAACCGCUUUUGGCAGGAACGAAACGGUGUCCGCUAAUACCGGGCGCUAAUGACGGUACCUGCAGAAUAAGCACCGGCUAACUACGUG